rnacentral:sRNA from 1 species
CAGGCAGAGAAUUCUUGCGCUCAGUCUCAGUUUUUGUCUCUGAUUUUGGAGAAAGGAGGCUGGCCCCAGAGGAAAAGGGUAUUGGAACCCCUUCGAGAUCCAGAUAUUAGCUGGCUGUAGAAUGA